rnacentral:rRNA from 1 species
CCAGACUCCUACGGGAGGCAGCAGUGGGGAAUAUUGCACAAUGGGGGAAACCCUGAUGCAGCGACGCCGCGUGGAGGAAGAAGGUCUUCGGAUUGUAAACUCCUGUCCUUGGGGACGAUAAUGACGGUACCUGACUAAGAAGCCCCGGCUAACUACGUGCCAGCAGCCGCGGUAAUACGUAGGGGGCAAGCGUUAUCCGGAUUUACUGGGUGUAAAGGGAGCGUAGACGGCCAUUCAAGCCAGAUGUGAAAGCCCGGGGCUCAACCCCGGGACUGCAUUUGGAACUGUGUGGCUAGAGUGUCGGAGAGGCAGGCGGAAUUCCUAGUGUAGCGGUGAAAUGCGUAGAUAUUAGGAGGGACACCAGUGGCGAAGGCGGCCUGCUGGACGAUGACUGACGUUGAGGCUCGAAAGCGUGGGGAGCAAACAGGAUUAGAUACCCCCGUAC